rnacentral:rRNA from 1 species
UAGGGAAUAUUGGACAAUGGGGGCAACCCUGAUCCAGCCAUGCCGCGCGAGUGAAGAAGGCCCUCGGGUUGUAAAGCUCUUUUGUCCGGAAAGAAAAGCUUCGGGUUAAUACCCCGGGGUUCUGACGGUACCGGAAGAAUAAGCACCGGCUAACUUCGUGCCAGCAGCCGCGGUAAUACGAAGGGUGCAAGCGUUACUCGGAAUUACUGGGCGUAAAGCGUGCGUAGGUGGUUGUUUAAGUCUGAUGUGAAAGCCCUGGGCUCAACCUGGGAAUGGCAUUGGAAACUGGGCAGCUAGAGUGCGGUAGAGGGUAGUGGAAUUCCCGGUGUAGCAGUGAAAUGCGUAGAGAUCGGGAGGAACAUCUGUGGCGAAGGCGACUGCCUGGACCAGCACUGACACUGAGGCACGAAAGCGUGGGGAGCAAACA